rnacentral:rRNA from 1 species
UACAGAGGUCCCGAGCGUUGUUCGGAUUCAUUGGGCGUAGAGGGUGCGUAGGCGGUCUGCUAAGUUUGAUGUGAAAUCCCGGGGCUCAACCCUGGAAUGGCAUUGAAUACUGGUGGACUAGAGUACUGGAGAGGAAACUGGAAUUUACGGUGUAGCAGUGAAAUGCGUAGAGAUCGUAAGGAAGACCAGUGGCGAAGGCGAGUUUCUGGACAGUAACUGACGCUGAGGCACGAAGGCCAGGGGAGCAAACGGG